AAAGCCAGAAUCACAGAAAGGGCAAAGCUGGGUGGCAGCAGGGGCUGAGCACAACUUGCAUGUGAGCCACAGUUUGGGGAUGCACCUUAGCACACCCUCUGCUCUCUGGAUUUUGGGGAAAUGGCCACAGCCUGGAUUCCUGCGCUCAGCAAAGGAGCAAUGGAGCAUCCCAGAUGGGACCUGCCAGCUUUGAAAGCAGCAGCGACCGCGAUGCUGCAACGCCCGCCAUGGCUUGGCUUCAUGACAGCUGAUGUGAGUACCUUUAACCGGUUCCAUCCUACACUCACCUAUUACACAGCCUCACACGGGGUCAUUGGCGUUCAUCUGACAAGAAAAUGAGUGAAUUCAGGAAGCAAAACCAGCACGAAACUCUUCCACCAGGGAGAGGGGAGGGAUCCAGUUUCCUGCCAGGUUACAUCUCUGGGAGGUCAAAGCAUCACCAGAGCUGAGCCAGGGAAGUUACCUGAGCAGGCAGGCGGGAGCCAGGGAGGUGCCAAACUGCUCCCUGGCACAGCUACACAGGACCAGCUCAGCCCUCUGCAGCAAAAUCUUCCUCUGGUGAAUCCCUACCCAAGAUGAAGAAUGCAAACCGGGAUUCUUAUGUAAAAUAACCCCUUUCCUUAACACUGUCCUUUUUUUCAGCUACAAUUGCUAGUGAAGGAGACAGAAGAGGUUAAUCAUCCACCCAAGUGACUGCAGGCAGCCCAACAAAUAAGCAGAGAUCAGCCCAGAGGCCCUCAGCUCAUGUAAAUCAGCAUCGUUUCAUCAAGCCUGGAGCUUACACCAUCAUGCACUCACUCAGGAUCUAAAACCCAAAUGUGUAAAUGAAAAUGAUGCUAAUUACAGUUCACCACCAAGAAGCACUACCUUAAUUUUAAGGAAAUGAAGGAAACGGGCUUGCUCCGUGACAGCCGAUAUCAUAUUGCCAUACAACUAACUUAAAGUUGUAUAAGUUAGAUUAUAACUUUUGAAGAAGCAAUUAUGAUUUUAUUGCACCCACUCUGCUGAUGAUUAAUGCAGAGAGCCUAGGGGAAAAUGCAUCCUAUCAUUUGCUAACAUGCACUAUAAUUAUGCAUACCUCUCCAGGUACUGUAAUUUAGGACUUAAAGAGCAACAUUCUGAACGAGGACUGCUGCACUUGUAAAACAUUACAGAUGUGUUAUCAUAUAAAUGAGGUAGCUUUGACAUGAUAGUGUUCUAAUAAAUCCUCAGCUAAGAUUUGGAGACA
rnacentral:lncRNA from 1 species